rnacentral:rRNA from 1 species
AGGGAAUCUUCCGCAAUGGGCGAAAGCUUGACGGAGCAACGCCGCGUGAGUGAUGAAGGUCUUCGGAUCGUAAAACUCUGUUAUUAGGGAAGAACAAAUGUGUAAGUAACUAUGCACGUCUUGACGGUACCUAAUCAGAAAGCCACGGCUAACUACGUGCCAGCAGCCGCGGCAAUACGUAGGUGGCAAGCGUUAUCCGGAAUUAUUGGGCGUAAAGCGCGCGUAGGCGGUUUUUUAAGUCUGAUGUGAAAGCCCACGGCUCAACCGUGGAGGGUCAUUGGAAACUGGAAAACUUGAGUGCAGAAGAGGAAAGUGGAAUUCCAUGUGUAGCGGUGAAAUGCGCAGAGAUAUGGAGGAACACCAGUGGCGAAGGCGACUUUCUGGUCUGUAACUGACGCUGAUGUGCGAAAGCGUGGGGAUCAAACAGGAUUAGAUACCCUGGUAGUCCACGCCGUAAACGAUGAGUGCUAAGUGUUAGGGGGUUUCCGCCCCUUAGUGCUGCAGCUAACGCAUUAAGCACUCCGCCUGGGGAGUACGACCGCAAGGUUG